GACGAACGCUGGCGGCGUGCCUAACACAUGCAAGUCGAGCGGGGACAUGGAGUAGCAAUACGAAAUGUUCUAGCGGCGGACGGGUGAGUAACGCGUGAGCAACCUGUCCCAGUCAGGGGGAUAACGAGCCGAAAGGCUCCCUAAUACCGCAUGCGACCACAGCAUCACAUGGUGCAGGGGUCAAAGGCGAAAUCAGGACUGGGGUGGGCUCGCGUCUGAUUAGCUAGUUGGUGAGGUAAAGGCCCACCAGGGCGACGGGUAGCCGGCCUGAGAGGGUGACCAGCCACACUGGGACUGAGACACGGCGCAGACUCCUACGGGAGGCAGCAGUGGGGAAUAUUGCACAAUGGGCGCAAGCCUGAUGCAGCAACGCCGCGUGCGGGAUGACGGCCUUCGGGUUGUAAACCGCUUUUAGUAAGGAAGAAGGGGAGCUUGCUCCUUGACGGUACUUGCAGAAAAAGGACCGGCUAACUACGUGCCAGCCGCCGCGGUAAGAC
rnacentral:rRNA from 1 species